GAGAACCCCAUGAUAAAUUUUAAAUCACGGACGCUUGUCAACCAUGAAAAAGAUUUACCUGUAGGAUGCUAGAUCACUUAACUGAUAGCCCAUAAACGUCGCUAUGACUUUCAGCAUCAACAUCAAACGAAGAAUAUCCUAUAUCAAAAUAACAAUGGGAAAAUGACCUUGAUUUCAGAUAUUGCAGCAUGUUUCCCAUUCAUUACAGCCAAAACUUCAAACAGACUCUUAAUCAACUUUUGCCAAUGAGAGAUUCAUCUGAAGUACCCUGAAUACAAGCAAACCAUCAGUAGUUAAAAAAAAAAAAAAAUCUCUGCCACAUUAGAGGAAAUCAUUUUUUAAAGAAAAAGGGAAAGAAAACAAAACUACCUUCGCGCAAAAAAUGUAUAUUUUGACUGCUUUCAUCUGUCCAAUCCUAUGAGCUCUAGAUUCGGCCCAUGAACAAACAAGAACCAAGAAACCAGACCAAUAGAAUAUUACUAUAAAAUCACCAACUCAAACUAAAGGUCGAGCAUCUCCAACCCCUCCAGAAUAACCCUUUCCAUAAUACAAGUCACAGAAAAAGAAAUAAUGAGAAACUAGCAUGCGAAGUGAGAAGAAACAGAAGC
rnacentral:lncRNA from 1 species